rnacentral:rRNA from 1 species
AGGGUUAUAGAGCGGUAACUCAGUAAUGAUCCCUCCGCUGGUUCACCAACGGAGACCUUGUUACGACUUUUACUUCCA